GGCAGCAUGGCUUAGUGGAAAAAGCACAGGCUUGGGAGUUAGAGGUCAGAGUCAGAGGUCGUGGGUUCUAAUCCCAGCUCUGCCA
rnacentral:tRNA from 1 species